rnacentral:rRNA from 1 species
GAUGAACGCUGGCGGCGUGCCUAAUACAUGCAAGUCGAGCGAACAGAUGAGGAGCUUGCUCCUCUGACGUUAGCGGCGGACGGGUGAGUAACACGUGGAUAACCUACCUAUAAGACUGGGAUAACUUCGGGAAACCGGAGCUAAUACCGGAUAAUAUAUUGAACCGCAUGGUUCAAUAGUGAAAGACGGUUUUGCUGUCACUUAUAGAUGGAUCCGCGCCGCAUUAGCUAGUUGGUAAGGUAACGGCUUACCAAGGCAACGAUGCAUAGCCGACCUGAGAGGGUGAUCGGCCACACUGGAACUGAGACACGGUCCAGACUCCUACGGGAGGCAGCAGUAGGGAAUCUUCCGCAAUGGGCGAAAGCCUGACGGAGCAACGCCGCGUGAGUGAUGAAGGUCUUCGGAUCGUAAAACUCUGUUAUUAGGGAAGAACAAAUGUGUAAGUAACUAUGCACAUCUUGACGGUACCUAAUCAGAAAGCCACGGCUAACUACGUG